rnacentral:rRNA from 1 species
GAUGAACGCUGGCGGCGUGCCUAAUACAUGCAAGUCGAGCGAACAGAUGAGAAGCUUGCUUCUCUGAUGUUAGCGGCGGACGGGUGAGUAACACGUGGGUAACCUACCUAUAAGACUGGGAUAACUCCGGGAAACCGGGGCUAAUAACGGAUAAUAUUUUGAACCGCAUGGUUCAAUAGUGAAUGACGGUUUCGGCUGUUACUUAUAGAUGGACCCGCGCCGUAUUAGCUAGUUGGUAAGGUAACGGCUUACCAAGGCGACGAUACGUGGCCGACCUGAGAGGGUGAUCGGCCACACUGGAACUGAGACACGGUCCAGACUCCUACGGGAGGCAGCAGUAGGGAAUCUUCCUCAAUGGGCGAAAGCCUGACGGAGCAACGCCGCGUGAGUGAUGAAGGUCUUCGGAUCGUAAAACUCUGUUGUUAGGGAAGAACAAAUUUGUUAGUAACUGAACAAGUCUUGACGGUACCUAACCAGAAAGCCACGGCUAACUACGUGCCAGCAGCCGCAGUAA